AAAUUGAAGAGUUUGAUCAUGGCUCAGAUUGAACGCUGGCGGCAGGCCUAACACAUGCAAGUCGAGCGGUAGCACAGAGAGCUUGCUCUCGGGUGACGAGCGGCGGACGGGUGAGUAAUGUCUGGGAAACUGCCUGAUGGAGGGGGAUAACUACUGGAAACGGUAGCUAAUACCGCAUAACGUCGCAAGACCAAAGUGGGGGACCUUCGGGCCUCAUGCCAUCAGAUGUGCCCAGAUGGGAUUAGCUGGUAGGUGGGGUAACGGCUCACCUAGGCGACGAUCCCUAGCUGGUCUGAGAGGAUGACCAGCCACACUGGAACUGAGACACGGUCCAGACUCCUACGGGAGGCAGCAGUGGGGAAUAUUGCACAAUGGGCGCAAGCCUGAUGCAGCCAUGCCGCGUGUGUGAAGAAGGCCUUCGGGUUGUAAAGCACUUUCAGCGGGGAGGAAGGCGGUGAGGUUAAUAACCUCAUCGAUUGACGUUACCCGCAGAAGAAGCACCGGCUAACUCCGUGCCAGCAGCCGCGGUAAUACGGAGGGUGCAAGCGUUAAUCGGAAUUACUGGGCGUAAAGCGCACGCAGGCGGUCUGUCAAGUCGGAUGUGAAAUCCCCGGGCUCAACCUGGGAACUGCAUUCGAAACUGGCAGGCUAGAGUCUUGUAGAGGGGGUAGAAUUCCAGGUGUAGCGGUGAAAUGCGUAGAGAUCUGGAGGAAUACCGGUGGCGAAGGCGGCCCCCUGGACAAAGACUGACGCUCAGGUGCGAAAGCGUGGGGAGCAAACAGGAUUAGAUACCCUGGUAGUCCACGCUGUAAACGAUGUCGAUUUGGAGGUUGUGCCCUUGAGGCGUGGCUUCCGGAGCUAACGCGUUAAAUCGACCGCCUGGGGAGUACGGCCGCAAGGUUAAAACUCAAAUGAAUUGACGGGGGCCCGCACAAGCGGUGGAGCAUGUGGUUUAAUUCGAUGCAACGCGAAGAACCUUACCUGGUCUUGACAUCCACAGAACUUUCCAGAGAUGGAUUGGUGCCUUCGGGAACUGUGAGACAGGUGCUGCAUGGCUGUCGUCAGCUCGUGUUGUGAAAUGUUGGGUUAAGUCCCGCAACGAGCGCAACCCUUAUCCUUUGUUGCCAGCGGUCCGGCCGGGAACUCAAAGGAGACUGCCAGUGAUAAACUGGAGGAAGGUGGGGAUGACGUCAAGUCAUCAUGGCCCUUACGACCAGGGCUACACACGUGCUACAAUGGCAUAUACAAAGAGAAGCGACCUCGCGAGAGCAAGCGGACCUCAUAAAGUAUGUCGUAGUCCGGAUUGGAGUCUGCAACUCGACUCCAUGAAGUCGGAAUCGCUAGUAAUCGUAGAUCAGAAUGCUACGGUGAAUACGUUCCCGGGCCUUGUACACACCGCCCGUCACACCAUGGGAGUGGGUUGCAAAAGAAGUAGGUAGCUUAACCUUCGGGAGGGCGCUUACCACUUUGUGAUUCAUGACUGGGGUGAAGUCGUAACAAGGUAACCGUAGGGGAACCUGCGGUUGGAUCACCUCCUUA
rnacentral:rRNA from 1 species